rnacentral:rRNA from 1 species
AUUGAACGCUGGCGGCAGGCUUAACACAUGCAAGUCGAACGAGUGGCGGACGGGUGAGUAAUGCUUGGGAAUCUAGCUUAUGGAGGGGGAUAACUACGGGCAACUGUAGCUAAUACCGCGUACCCUAGGAUGAGCACAAGUGGGAUUAGGUAGUUGGUGAGGUCAUGGCUCACCAAGCCGACGCUCUCUAGCUGGUCUGAGAGGAUGACCAGACACAAUGGGACUGCGACAGGGCCCAGACUCCUACUGGCGGAAGCGUGUGGGAAUGUUACGCAAGGGGGGGAACCUGAGGCAGCCAGGCCGCGUUAAUGAAGAAGGGCUUCGGGUUGUAAAGUUUUUUCGGUUGUGAGGCGUUAACGACAGAAGAAGAACCGGCUAACGCCGUGCCAGCAGCCGGGGUAAUA